AUACGUAGGGGGCGAGCGUUGUCCGGAAUUACUGGGCGUAAAGGGUGCGUAGGCGGAUAUGCAAGUCCGAUGUGAAAGACUUCGGCUUAACCGAGGAGCUGCAUUGGAAACUGCGUAUCUAGAGUGCAGGAGAGGGAAGCGGAAUUCCUAGUGUAGCGGUGAAAUGCGUAGAUAUUAGGAGGAACACCAGUGGCGAAGGCGGCUUCCUGGACUGUAACUGACGCUGAGGCACGAAAGCUGGGGGAGCAAACAGGAUUAGAUACCCUGGUAGUCCCAGCCGUAAACGAUGGGUACUAGGUGUUGGUGCUUAAAUAGUGUCAGUGCCGUAGUUAACGCAAUAAGUACCCCGCCUGGGGAGUACGGCCGCAAGGCUGAA
rnacentral:rRNA from 1 species